UUGAAAGGGAAACGAUUGAAGUCAGUCGUACCAGCGGGAAAUCAACCUUUCGAGUGGGGGUUUUGGAGUUUUGAAGAGUGUCAAAACCUUUGAGAUUUCAAAAUUUUCGCUCCUUUGGUGUACUUUCUCGUGGGUAGGUUAACAUCGAUUUCGAUCAUCAUAAAAGGAUUGGAGGAAUGUAGCUUCGAUCUUGUAUUGAAGUGUUAUAGCCUUUGGUAAAUGUGAUGAUUAGGAUCGAGGAUUGCAACGAAUACCCUUUUGGGCUAUCCGCCUGAUCUCUGAUACGUGGCCUUGGUAUCGAAAGCGUGCUUAUGGUAUCAAGGUAUUACGGUCAAAAGGUUAGAACGGAUUACAUUCGUUAAGGAUGUUGACGUA
rnacentral:rRNA from 1 species